rnacentral:lncRNA from 1 species
GCUACGGCCACCACUGUUGUUGUGAAGCCCCGACGCCGCCGCUCACUCCGCCAUGUUGCCGCCCCCUGCCUGCGGUAGCAGCCACUGCGCCUGCGCACAGCCUCCGGGGGGGCGGAGCCCUCGGUGCACCCCCUCUUUUGCCCUGCCCUCCUUCUCUUCCCACCCACCCACCCCGACACCCCUCGUCCCUCCCCCAACCACCCCGAACGGAUAGACAGGCACGUACAAUUCAGAGGACUUUCGAAAUUAUCUAAAAACAUGGGUGAUUCUCACUGCCAGCCUUGUCUGUGAGAAAAGUACAUAUCUAUGUCUGCACAGAUACGAGACAAAAAAUAAACCUUUAAUUUUUAAAAAUUAAAAUGUACACAGUAAUCUUGCUGUUAGUAUUGAAUUAAAACUAAAUAGGCAUGACUGUUCCUUGAAAGGAAUGAUAUAAUUUUCUUUAAUAUUUCAUGAGGUCUUCCCUUUUCAAUAAAGAUUAUUGCAAGUCACCAGAAAUAUUAGGUAUCUUGAGGUAUAUUCAGAUCGUUUUAAUUGUCCUCUCAAAUGAAAAAGGUCAAUAUACAAAUCCACCAUAAUCAGUUUUGUUAUUAUUCAUAUUUAAUUGGACCUGCCAGUCAAGUUAACUCCCAGGAUAUGGGAACACGGUAAAAUUCUAAGUACCACAGGUUAUAAAAAAGUUCCUCAAAACCAGUACUUA